rnacentral:rRNA from 1 species
UGGGGGAUAUUGCACAAUGGGCGAAAGCCUGAUGCAGCGACGCCGCGUGGGGGAUGAAGGCCUUCGGGAUGUAAACUUCUUUUGCUCUGAACAAGGCAUGCUAAUGGGUGUGUUGAGUGUAGGGGUUGAUUAGCGCCGGCUAACUACGUGCCAGCAGCCGCGGUAAUACGUAGGGCGCGAGCGUUGUCCGGAAUUAUUGGGCGUAAAGGGCUUGUAGGUGGCUGGUUGCGUCUGUCGUGAAAGCUCAUGGCUUAACUGUGGGUUGGCGGUGGGUACGGGCUGGCUUGAGUGCAGUAGGGGAGGCUGGAAUUCCUGGUGUAGCGGUGGAAUGCGCAGAUAUCAGGAGGAAUACCGGUGGAGAAGGCGGGUCUCUGGGCUGUUACUGACACUGAGGAGCGAAAGCAUGGGGAGCGAACAGG